UUAGCAUGCAAGUCGAGCGGCAAGAGGUAGCAAUAUCUCCUAGAGCGGCGGACUGGUGAGUAACGCGUGGGCGACCUGCCUUGAGGCCGGGGAUAGCCGCUAGAAAUAGCGGGUAAUACCGGAUACGGUUGCCGGACUGUGGUCUGGCAAAGAAAGGGGCUUUGGCCCCGCCUUGAGAUGGACCCGCGUCCUAUUAGGUAGUUGGUGAGGUAAAGGCCCACCAAGCCCGAGAUAGGUAGCCGGCCUGAGAGGGUGAACGGCCACACUGGGACUGAGAUACGGCCCAGACUCCUACGGGAGGCAGCAGCUAAGAAUAUUCCGCAAUGGACGAAAGUCUGACGGAGCGACGCCGCGUGGAUGAGGAAGGCCGAAAGGUUGUAAAAUCCUUUUGCGGACGAAGAAUAAGUGGUGGAGGGAAUGCCAUCAUGAUGACGAUAGUCCGUGAAUAAGCCCCGGCUAAUUACGUGCCAGCAGCCGCGGUAACACGUAAGGGGCGAGCGUUGUUCGGAAUUAUUUGGCGUAAAGGGCGCGUAGGCGGUUAUGUAAGUCCGGCGUGAAAGGCGUGAGCUUAACUCACGGAUUGCGUUGGAAACUGUGUAACUUGAGUCAUGGAGGGGUAGUUGGAAUUCCGCGUGUAGGGGUGAAAUCUGUAGAUAUGCGGAAGAACACCGGUGGCGAAGGCGGACUACCAGCCAAUGACUGACGCUGAGGCGCGAAAGUGCGGGGAGCAAACAGGAUUAGAUACCCUGGUAGUCCGCACUAUAAACGAUGCACACUAUGUGUUGGGACGAGCGUCUCAGUGCCGGAGCGAACGCGAUAAGUGUGCCGCCUGGGGAGUAUGCCCGCAAG
rnacentral:rRNA from 1 species